UUUAUAUUUCAUCCGUUUAUUUCUACUCUUUCUAAAUACAAUGGUGUUUAUAGAUGAAACAUCUGAACAAAACAUAAAAUACAACUAAAACCAUUAGAUUAGACCAAGAUUCUGAUAGAUACAUAAUAUCAUGUUUGAAAUAAAUCUAAAUUCUAUAAUAUAUUUGCUAUUUCAAAUAAAGCCAAUUUUAUUUAAGCAAAAUAAAAGAUGUAAUAUUUAAUUACACAGAAAUAAAACUAGAACACACAUGAACAAUUCCUUUAGGAGUCCAUGUAAAUGGGAGAUAUAAACCUACCAAAAAGCAACAUAUUUUUGUAACUCGUUUCUUUCUUUUUCAAUUGUCAUCUUAUGAUUAUUCCAUAGAUGCACAUGAAAUCAUAUAUGGAAAAAUCAAUAGUUAAAAGAAACCCUGCGAGAGGAAAGAUAGUGAGGUAAAAUGUAAAAGAAAAAAGUCCAUUAUGUAACAGAAGCUAUUUAAAAUUGAAAAUAUUUGACUAAUAAGUUAUUUAAAACAAAAUUGUUUCCUUUGGAAUAAACAAAAAAAAAAAAAAGUUUUUUUGUUUACUUGUCUAAUCUUACUCAAAGUUGUGACUGUUUCACAAAAUAAAAAUCAUUGUGAAAUCACUUACAUGUAUAAAUCCAACACACCAAAAUCUUGUUUGUCAGUAAGUAAAAACAGAAAAGUGUUUUUCAUCAAUUUGGUUGGUUAAAUCAAUCACAUGUCUAAUGAUAGUCUUAGCACCAAUGUGCACAGGAUAGAAAAAGUUGUACAGUUCAGGAUCUACACUUCUUCACAUAUUGAAGCUAGUUUAGUUUUCAUAGUUAAAAAUUGAACAUACAACAUGACAGGCCCAAAAAAAAAAAAAGAAAGAUCAUUGUAUACAAAAGUAG